rnacentral:rRNA from 1 species
GAUGAACGCUGGCGGCGUGCCUAAUACAUGCAAGUCGAGCGAACAGACGAGGAGCUUGCUCCUCUGACGUUAGCGGCGGACGGGUGAGUAACACGUGGAUAACCUACCUAUAAGACUGGGAUAACUUCGGGAAACCGGAGCUAAUACCGGAUAAUAUAUUGAACCGCAUGGUUCAAUAGUGAAAGACGGUUUUGCUGUCACUUAUAGAUGGAUCCGCGCCGCAUUAGCUAGUUGGUAAGGUAACGGCUUACCAAGGCAACGAUGCGUAGCCGACCUGAGAGGGUGAUCGGCCACACUGGAACUGAAACACGGUCCAGACUCCUACGGGAGGCAGCAGUAGGGAAUCUUCCGCAAUGGUCGAAAGCUUGACGGAGCAACGCCGCGUGAGUGAUGAAGGUCUUCGGAUCGUAAAACUCUGUUAUUAGGGAAGAACAAAUGUGUAAGUAACUAUGCACGUCUUGACGGUACCUAAUCAGAAAGCCACGGCUAACUACGUG